rnacentral:misc_RNA from 1 species
GGCAAAUAGGAAGGUUAUUAUAAAAAUUAGAAGAAUUCUUGUCAGAAUUUGAUUCAGUCUGUACUACCGCAGGGUCUUAUCUUACUUGUGAUAAUAAAAUGAAAUUAAACAGGUAGUAACAAUAAGCUAUUCAUCUGAUAAAAGAAAAAUCAAGAAAGACGUAGAUAUCUAUUUCUAGUAAACAAUCUGCAAUAGUUCUCGCAUAAUGAACAGCAUGACCACCUAGCCAAUGAAGAAGAUGCAUCAACUUCAAGCACCAUUAAGGCAGAGGAAGAUUCCAUUCUUUCAUCUUUUCUAUGGGAAUUACUAGUAAAGCCACUGAUUGAGAAGCAGAAUCAUGCUGGAUUCAUGGAGCUACUAGAUAUGAUUGGUCCCGGUUUUUCUGAGCUACUAAAAAACAGAAGGGUCUUGCAGCAAACCAAGCCGCUUCUUUGUUAUUGUAGUAAGGAAGCCACAAGGAGAACAUCAAAGGAAGAAUGGGAAUCAUAAGUUUACACAGGAAUUCUUGGGUCUAGAAGAUCCCGGAAGAAUCAUCCGUGAGAAAAUUUGCUCUUGGGGAAACCAAAAUGUAGCGCAGCACAUAAAUCUUGAUGUUUCUAGCAUAGAAGAAUGGGAUGACAUUAGGCAGAUAGCAACAGAGACGGGAAAUGCUAUCAUGGAUGAAUUAAUUCAGGAAGACAU